rnacentral:rRNA from 1 species
AACGGCCGUACCAUGCUGAAUAUACCGGUUCUCGUUAGAUCACCGAAGUUAAGAAUCAUUGGGCGCGGUCAGUACUUGGGUGGGUGACCACCUGGGAACACUGCGUGCCGUU